AUCUGGGCGGCGGAAUUCAGGAUGGCUGGCGUGCUCCCGCGCGUCUGUCGUUUGAUAUUUCCGUCGCCAACUAACCGCAGACGUCGCGACCUGUUCGCGGUCGGUCCCUGCUCGGAGGAGCCGCGUUCGAGCUCGUUGUGUGCGCGUUUCGGCGUGUCACACGGUGAAGGCGCGGAUCUCUGGCUGGCCGUCGGACAGUAUGCUUAACGGUGUCCGGUGUCGUCGUCUCGUACGCGCGGCAUCGGUACCGGUCAGCGACGAAUUCUUCGGGCCUCUUUCCGACCCGUCUUGAAACACGGACCAAGGAGUCUAACAUGCGCGCGAGUCGCGGGGUAUCGAGCGUACUUCGGUGCGUUCGUUAUGUUGCGAAACCCGUACAUGUUGAAGGCGUAAUGAAAGUGAAUGGGGAAGAUGGUGUUCCGAGUACACGUUCCGCGAUCGUCGGUAUCGCGGCCGGGCACCCGCAUUCCCAGGGCGUCUCAACGGCCCGUCGUUGAUGCGGACAGUCGUCUCUCGGGGCGGCUGUCGGUCGGCGACGAACCGA
rnacentral:rRNA from 1 species